AGCUUUGCGCAGUGGCAGUAUCGCAGCCAAUGAAGUUUAUCCGAGGUGCGAUUAUUGCUAAUUGAAAACUUUAACAAAUACCAGUAAUACUUAGAGGGAUUUAUAUACACAAUUAAAAUCUGGUAUUUCUGACUUUAUAUUUUAGGA
ensembl:snRNA U4 U4 spliceosomal RNA